rnacentral:rRNA from 1 species
AGCAGCCGCGGUAAUUCCAGCUCCAAUAGCGUAUAUUAAAGUUGUUGCAGUUAAAAAGCUCGUAGUUGAAUUUCGGGAUCAAUAUGUUGGUCGUGCCUUGGUACGUACUGGCAUUAUUGGUUUCUACCUUCUGAAGAACCUCGAUGUCAUUAAUUUGGUGUCUUGGGGAAUCAGGACUGUUACUUUGAAAAAAUUAGAGUGUUUAAAGCAGGCUCGCGCUUGAAUACAUUAGCAUGGAAUAAUGAAAUAGGACGUUUGAUUCUAUUUUGUUGGUUUCUAGGAUCGACGUAAUGAUUAAUAGGGAUAGUUGGGGGCAUUAGUAUUCAAUUGUCAGAGGUGAAAUUCUUGGAUUUAUUGAAGACUAACUACUGCGAAAGCAUUUGCCAAGGAUGUUUUCAUUAAUCAAGAACGAAAGUUAGGGGAUCGAAGACGAUCAGAUACCGUCGUAGUCUUAACCAUAAACUAUGCCGACUAGGGAUCGGAUGAUGUUAAUUUUUUAAUGACUC